UAGUCCACGCCGUAAACUAUGAUUACUCGAUAUUGGCGAUAUACGGUCAGUGUCUAAGCGAAAGUGAUAAGUAAUCCACCUGGGGAGUACGGUCGCAAGAUUGAAACUCAAAGGAAUUGACGGGGGCCCGCACAAGCGGUGGAGCAUGUGGUCUAAUUCGAAGCAACGCGCAGAACCUUACCACCCCUUGACAUACCUGUCGCGAUUUCCAGAGAUGGAUUUCUUCAGUUCGGCUGGACAGGAUACAGGUGCUGCAUGGCUGUCGUCAGCUCGUGUCGUGAGAUGUUGGGUUAAGUCCCGCAACGAGCGCAACCCACGCCUUUAGUUGCCAGCAUUUAGUUGGGCACUCUAGAGGAACUGCCGGUGAUAGGCCGGAGGAAGGUGUGGAUGACGUCAAGUCCUCAUGGCCCUUACGGGGUGGGCUACACACGUGCUACAAUGGCGGUGACAAUGGGUUAAUCCCAAAAAGCCGUCUCAGUUCGGAUUGGGACCUGCAACUCGGUCCC
rnacentral:rRNA from 1 species